rnacentral:lncRNA from 1 species
AUGAAGCAGAGAGUCCCCACUAGACGCCAAAUCUGCUGGUGUCUUGAUUUUGGACUUCCCAGUCUCUGGAACUGCUUAUGCAUGUAUCUAAGUCGUCACUUUGAAUAUUGCAACUUUUUAUGUGUCAAUCAUACCUCAAUGUGGUUGGCAGAAUAACGGCCCUAAAAGAUGUUCAAGUUUUGAUCCCCAGAACCUGCGAAUGAACAUAUUCCCUCUAUGGCAAAAAAGGAAUUCAGGUUACAGAUGGAAUUAAGUUUGUUAAUCAGCUAACCUUAAAAUAGAGAGAUAUCCUGGAUUAUCUGGGUGGGCCCAAUGUAAUCACAAGUGCCCUUAAAAGUGGAAGAGGAGGCAGAAAAGUUGAUCAUAAGGAUGCUACCGGAGAGGGAUUUGAGUUCACUUUGAAGGUAGAGGCCGUGCAUGAAGGAAAACAACUUCUGGAAGCUGGGAACAGCCCCCAUGUUACAGUCAGCAAGAAAAUGGGGAUGUUGGCUUUGCAUCUACAGGAAUUGAAUUCUGCCAGCAGCAAGGAAAUGGAUUCUCCUCUAGAACUUCCAGAAAAGGGUAUAGUGUGCUGACACCUUAAUUUUAGUCCAGUGAAACCCAUACUGGACUUCUGAUCCACAAAACUGCAAAAUAAUAAGUUUGUGUUGUCUGAAGCCAUUAAGUUUAUGGACAUAUAGCAACAAACCAAUGUACUCAAUAAAGCUAUUUUUAUUUUAAAAUGAAUCUAUUUUUAAAAUUGCACUUCAUAGACAGUAUUGCAUACUUCUGUCAAGAGGCAUAUAAAGUCUAGUUACCUAUCUGUGACGUUAGCUGCCAUCAAUUGCCUAGAUUAUUGCCUAGAGCCAUUAAGUCAUCAUCACUUCCUAGUGAUGGCCUCUCAAGGCACAACAUUUCCUUCUUGGUUAACUCAACCAAACUUCCUCCUGAGAUUUCUACUCAUUGAAUCUAAGCCUUUUCUACGCUGUGGCUCCUUAAAUAUUUGAAGACAUAUCCUUACUUUUAAAAAUCAUUUUAUUAUGAAAAAAUGGAAACACUAUAUAAAAAUAUAAUAAUAUAAUGAACCCCUUUAUGCCCAUUUCUCAUCUUCAACAAUUAUCAACUCCAGACCAAUCUCAUUUCAUUUACACCCUCAUCUACUUCUUCCAUCCUUUAUUAUUUUGAAGCAAAUCCCAGAUCUCAUAUAAUUUUACCCAUAUAUAGUUCUGUAUAUAUAACUAGAAGAGAACUUAAAAAAUAACCACAAUAUUAUUAUUACUCUUACAUUUACAAUAAUCUCAUAAUAUCAUUAACUAUUCAAUGACUUACUCCUAUUGGUUAAGCAUAUAAUCUUUAUUUAUUUAUUUAUUUAUUUAUUUAUUUAUUUAUUUAUUUAUUUUUGAGAGAGUCUCAGGCAGGAGUGUAGUGGUGCCAUCUCAGCCCACUGCAGCCUUGACAUCCCAGGCUCAAGUGAUCCUCCCACUUCAGCCCCCUGAGUACCUGGGACUACAGGCACCCGUCACCAUGCCUGGCUAAUUUUUGUAUCUUUUUGUAGAGACGAGGUUUUACCAUGUUACCCAGGCUGGUCUGAAACUCCUGGGCUCAAGCGAUACACCUGCUGUGGCCUCCCAAAGUGCUGGGAUUACAGGCUUGAGCUACCACACCCAGCCUCAUAUGAUCUUUUUUUUUUGAAACAAUUCUCAUGAAAAGAUCUUUCUGACUUAGAAAAAAAAAAUGAGACACUCAGAAGAGGAGUAAAUAAUUUCACCUCCAAGUUGCAUAUGGUGACAAUUUUUGUGCACAUGAUAAUGAUAGAAACAGGCUCACUGGGAAAGCUGAGUAACCAUGUAUACUUUGUCAUUGGCAAAAACCUUAUUCAGACUUACAAAACAAUGAUGUUAAAAUGUAAAAAGUAAUGCCUUUAUAGAAUUCACAAUUAUAUAAAAAUGUCAUUUUUUAAUCCAUUGAAAGUUUAUUUUUGCAAAUGUUCUAUUGUUAUAACUUAAUUGUUAAUUCAAUUUUUCAUAACCUUGUUGCAACUAUACGUAUAAAUGUAUACAUUUUUG